UGAGCCGCGGACACAGAUGGCCAAGCCCUGUGCGCGUGCACGGCCUGUUGUGUGGGGCCCGGCUGCAUUCGAUCUCAGCGCCUCACUUUGUUUCUUGGUCACAUCGCAGCUGUGGUUUGCGUACGUGUCUCCGCGGGUCCAUGUGUUAAGGUGCUGCUUCGCUCAGGCCCAGGGCAUCGGGGCCAACUGAUCACGAGCUGAAACUUCCAAACUGGAUCGAACUCAGAACCUUGUGCUUGCCAGGCAGGUGUGGUGCCACCGAGCUACAUCCCUGGCCCGAAAAAGUAAUUCUUCCUAUCGGCCCGCAGUACUGUUACUUGCUUUGUGUCAGUGUGAACUGUGUCUGGGAUCACUUUCCAUCCUUUUGAAGAUGUUCUGGAGAUAUUUCCUGCAGGUUCUGAAGGAGGCCUUAGUCCAAGUGGAUCUCGGGUCACAGGCUUGUUGGAACCGAGCAGGAUGACCUAAACACUACGAGAGGCCCAUGAAACAGCUGCCCUUGCCUGGAGCCCCGCAGGAAGGCCUCGGCAGCACCUGCCCCACACCGCUGAGACCCCUGCUCUCGGGACCCACCCCACCCACCCACACAGCAGGCCCACAGUGGGUGUGGCCGGCCCUUGGUGAAUUAGUGCCUGAAAGAGAAAUCUGUCUGCUAUGCUGGGAUGUGUCAGAGAAGCUGUGCUCUCAGAAUAUGUACUUGGGAUUCAAAACUGGGUGGAAAUAGGAAAUUCUUUGUUCAGAACAAAAAUAGCACAAGUCAGCAGAAACAGAACUGGUGAAGCCGCCAGUUCCCGGGGCUCUGGAGGCCCCCAGGCAGCUGCCUUUGCUCAGCAGCCCGAUGGUGUGAGGGGCGUGGUGAAGGGAGUGCAGCAUGAGGGCCCCUCUUCCUGGCUCUGCCACCCAUGCACCAUGUGGCCUUUUCUUUGCUCCUUGGCUUCCUAAUUUUGCAAGGAGCUGGAUGGAAUAAAGGUACAAACCCCGAGCAACCGCCUUCAGUGAUUUCUAGACAAGGAAUCCCUUGCUCUCUAUCAAAGAAGAGUUUU
rnacentral:lncRNA from 1 species